rnacentral:tRNA from 1 species
GGUUUGUGGCUCAGUGGUAGAGCGCCUGCCUUGAAUGUGUGAGGCCCUGGGUUUGAUUCUCAGCACCA